GCUGUAGCUCAGUGGUAGAGGAUUUGCUUUUCAUGCAGAGGCCUUGGGUUCAAUUCCUGGUAUCUCUG